CCUCCAUCCUUACCACCAAACCCUAACCCCCAUAUCUGGUCCCCAUACCCACCACCCUCCAUCUCCACAUCUUCACCAUCCUCCUUCGAUGACACCGAGUUGCCCGAAACUCCUCAUCUACAACGGCAUCGUCCGUGAAUUCAUAAGGCUUUCCUCUUGAUCGGUUCCGGCCGGGAGAACCUCGAGUUUAACUUCCGCUGGACCCACCGGAACCUUGCCAUCAUCGGCUUGUUCGGUAUCACUGUUCCUAUCCUCAUCUACAAGGGCAUCAUCCAUGAAUUCCAUAUGAAAGACGAGGAUGCCGGAAGGCCCUAAAGGAAAUUCCAGUCAAAAUUCCAGUUAAGGAUCUCGAUAAUUAAUAAUGGAGAGGAUUGGCUUCCGAUGGUUUGAUGUAUCUUUGGAUAGAGCUUACAAUUGGCUUUUGGUGACUUUGGUGAAUGCAAGUGAUAAGAAGUGCGCCUUAUCUCCUUAUCUACUUAUCUCCCUAUGUUUGAACUGUUCUUAAAUGUUCUUCAUGGUUACCUUGGAUAGGCGUUGGUUUUAUUUUUAAACUGCUAUGCCCUUUCAGAUAGAAUAGUAGGGAAAUUAAAAGUUAAAUUUGAUUUUAUGGAAAAGAUUAUUUGAGGAGUUGAGCAGUUAACUAUGUAUAAAUUAUGAUGGGGUUGCGCACUUGUACGUAUCACUCUUUUUCGGGAAAAAAGACAUUUGACAUGGUAAUGAGUAUUCUCCUGUCAACUACUAGAUGAUGAAUGCUCAUAUAUUUUUGGAAGAUAACUAAAGUAUAUAAUUUCAAGGUACCAAUGUGAACUUGAAAAUCUAUGUAUAUUGAGUCAAGCAUUUAAUAUCUAUUAUUUGAUUAUAAUUUAUAACCUUUUCAGUAUGUAUGUACAAUUGAUGAUAGUGACCCAAAGUUAGGUUGUCAUUGGUGUACUUGUUAGGAAGUUUAAUCAUAUAUUUAGAACAGUAUCCUCCAAUAAUUUUCAAUUCUCUUUCCGUAUGAACAAAGAAAGAUUUCUGGAAGCUACCUAGGAAAUCAACAUUAUGCACCUAUUCAUUUCAUUGUUUAAAAGGCGAUAUGUUUUACAUCAUUUUGCAUGUCCGGGUAUUUUAAUUCUGUUGAUAAGAUCCCUAACAGUUGAUUUCAGUCUUAUGUGGGUUCUCCAUUCAUUUCUUUGUUUUAGGCAGAAUAGUUGGUUUUUCUUUUCAUUUUGAAUAAAUCAGGAUUUGAACCUAUGAUUUUUAUAACAUUAAGUCUUAGAACCCUAUAUAACUAUUAGGUUCUUAAAUGUAUUGAUUUAAACUAUUGGUUUGAAUCACUAACCUUUUUUCAUUGUGUUGGUGGAGCAUUGAUUUUAUGUAUUCCAUUUUUCUUGGAGGCGGGACUAACUUUGUGAUAGUUUUGAGUUACAGGAUUUGGAAAGUAUACUCAAGUUACUUUUGUCUUAAUUACCUGCUGAAUUCCCUGCUUUCUAGAUAUGAUAAUGAUUUUUUUCAAAGAAAAUCUUUAUAUAAUUUGCCUGAAGUCUAUUAUGAAUUGCUUGAAUAACCAUGAGAAUGACUUAAUUUCCAUUUAUUUUGAUUUAUUUUUAUCUUUAUGAUAUCUAACAAUUGGUUGCUAAUCACUUAUAUGUUAUCUUACAUGCUGGCUAUAUGUCUUGGAAAUGGCACUAAAAAUAUUUUCAUAUGGAUUUGAUGCUUACUAGAUGGAAAGGUCAAAAAUGGUUUGAUUUUAUAAUCACAUGGAUAAUAGUGACAUUGAAGAAUCAGCUAAGCACUCUCCAAUUCCGAAGGGAGCUUGUAUUUCUCUUAAGAUGAAGUAUAGGGUUCAUGAUGAUGCAUAGGGUUAUGUUAGAUUGGACCUUAUUGUUGUAGUAAUGCUAUGAUUGUAAUAACAUUUUGCAUAUUUUACAAAUAUUAAAAUUUAUAAUUUUUA